rnacentral:tRNA from 1 species
GGGCAUGGCUGAUGGUAAAGCACUGGCCAGACAUGCCAGGGUCCUGGGUUCAAUCCCCAGUGUUACCC